ACAAAAUCUAGAUUUUUAUUUUAAAGACAUGUACUUAUAAGGAUAACAAAUUAUGUUGGGGAGACCAGUGGAGAAAUGUGGAAGAUAAGAGAGUUAUGGAAACAUGGAGGCUACCAAAGCACUCUGUAUACAGGUUUGUAAAAGCUGCCACAGAAACAGUUAUUCAAUUAAUAUAUACUAAUAAAAAACGUAAGGGGACUAUGCAAAUAGAGUCAGGUUCUAUUUUAUAGGCUGACCCAGCACAACAGAUAAAAUGGGCAAAAGAGCCCAUUCUUUACAAACAGAAAAUAAAAGACAAAAUUUACACAAAUAGACCGCUGAAAAGCUGACCAAAAAUUUUCAAGAUUCCUUUUGACUGAAGCCGAGGCUAGACUCCGCACUCUGUGUUCUUGGCAUGUCUGUUCCCCUCCCCCUGGUUCCAGAAACAUCUUGCAUUUUCAGCCCCUUGGGUUCUGGUGAGCAGAAUUUUAAAACCACAGAUCUUAAAGACUAGAAACAGGUUCAUCUCCCAGACAGGCUGAGCACCAGUCUGUCUGCAUGCACUGGUGAUAUCCUCAGCCCACAGCCAGCACAUGUCUGUAGCAGGAGCCAGGGUCAGGGUCUUCCUAGCAAUCCUGUUGUAGAAAGGUGAUCAUGGGAACGAUGUAGGCUGGCUCAACACAUCUUGGACAAGAACUUGUUAAGUGGCAACUUUUCAACAAAGAUAAAACAGUGAUGGUCUAACAAGGCCUCUGUGGUGGGUUGAAUUUGUCCCCAAAAACUUGUACUGAAAUCCCUGAUCCUUAGAGCUUCAAAUAUGGCCUUAUUGGGAGAUGGGCUCUUUACAGGGAAAUCAAAAUGAAGCUAUUAGGCAGAUCAUAACAUGAAGUACAAGAGGGAGAAUGAUCCCAGAGACAGAAGAGUGGAACAGAAUAGGGAGAAUGACUACCAGUGGGUUAAGGAAAAGCCAAGGACAGACCUUGCAUGUGCGGCCUCAGGAAGAGCCAAUUUUGCAGACGCCUUGACUGCAGACUUCGAAAUCCUGUGGACAGCCACUUUGUGUUAUUUGAACUGUUAUCGGAGUUACUCUGUGCAAACAGUGUUCUCCCUGUGCAGCCUGCUAGCUAAGCUAUGCUGUUGUGAGGCCUUUGGGAUUGGUAAAUCUGCCUGGGUAGUAAAGAUGAAAUUUC
rnacentral:lncRNA from 1 species